rnacentral:rRNA from 1 species
AUUGAACGCUGGCGGCAUGCUUUACACAUGCAAGUCGAACGGUAACAGGCCGCAAGGUGCUGACGAGUGGCGAACGGGUGAGUAAUGCAUCGAAACGUGCCCAGUCGUGGGGGAUAACGCAGCGAAAGCUGUGCUAAUACCGCAUACGAUCUGUGGAUGAAAGCGGGGGACCUUCGGGCCUCGCGCGAUUGGAGCGGCCGAUGUCAGAUUAGGUAGUUGGUGGGGUAAAGGCUCACCAAGCCGACGAUCUGGAGCUGGUCUGAGAGGACGACCAGCCACACUGGGACUGAGACACGGCCCAGACUCCUACGGGAGGCAGCAGUGGGGAAUUGUUCGCAAUGGGCGCAAGCCUGACGACGCAACGCCGCGUGGAGGAUGAAGAUCUUCGGGUCGUAAACUCCUUUCGAUCGAGACGAACGGCCUCCGGGUGAACAAUCCGGGGGAAUGACGGUACCGAGAGAAGAAGCCCCGGCUAACUCCGUGCCAGCAGCCGCAGUAACAC